AUGACUGACAGAGACUUGGCAAAUAAAAGAACAUCUGCUGAAGGUGUGCGGCUGAUAUGGAGAAUAUGUCAAGUCAACUGGAUGAGUCAGCACGGGCAACAUAAAGGACUGCAGUUAAAAGCUAGGGCUAGGACUUGGAGGAUGUGUAGGCAAACGGAAGGAGAGCCGGGGGAAGAAAAACCGAAAUGGAUUCAUUCUCCGUCCUGGAUGGAGGAGGAGAGGAGAGGAGAAGGGGACGUGCGAGCUUCCUUCAGCUGCCUCUGUCCGGUGAAAAGUGCUCGAAGCCCCGGGGCUGCCUCGGGCUCAGGAGUCCGCGCGGACUUUCGCUGUAAGCUGCCAAUCAAACUGCUAACUAGCCACCACCCUGCUCUGGCAAGGACAUGUAAGUAG
rnacentral:lncRNA from 1 species